GACGUAGGAGGCGAGCGUUGUCCGGAAUUACUGGGCGUAAAGCGCGCGCAGGUGGCCCGAUAGGCGGCCCGUGAAAGCCCCCGGCUCAACCGGGGUCGGUCGGGUCGAACCAUCGGGCUGGAGGGCGGUAGAGGCGGGUGGAAUUCCCGGUGGAGCAGUGAUAUGCGUAGAUACCGGGAGGAACACCAGUGGCGAAGGCGGCCCGCUGGGCCGACCCUGACGCUGAGGCGCGAAGGCUAGGGGAGCGAACGGG
rnacentral:rRNA from 1 species